rnacentral:rRNA from 6 species
CUCGUCGGCCAUAGGUAGCGGGGAAACACCCGGUCUCAUUCCGAACCCGGAAGUUAAGCCCGUUACCGUUACGUGUUCCGUUAAACCUUAGGUUUAGCAGGGCACGUAAGCCGACGAGU